AGCAGCCGCGGUAAUUCCAGCUCCAAUAGCGUAUAUUAAAGUUGUUGCAGUUAAAAAGCUCGUAGUUGAAUUUCGGGAUCAAUUUGCUGGUCGUGCCUCUGGUACGUACUGGUAUUAUUGGUUUCUCCCUUCUGACGAACCAUGAUGUCAUUAAUUUGAUGUCGUGGAGAAUCAGGACUGUUACUUUGAAAAAUUGAGUGUUUAAAGCAGGCAUUAGCUUGAAUACAUUAGCAUGGAAUAAUGAAAUAGGACGUUUGAUCCUAUUUUGUUGGUUUCUAGGAUUGACGUAAUGAUUAAUAGGGAUAGUUGGGGGCAUUAGUAUUCAAUUGUCAGAGGUGAAAUUCUUGGAUUUAUUGAAGACUAACUACUGCGAAAGCAUUUGCCAAGGAUGUUUUCAUUAAUCAAGAACGAAA
rnacentral:rRNA from 1 species